rnacentral:rRNA from 1 species
UGAACGCUGGCGGCGAAAAUAAUACAUGCAAGUCGAGCGAACAGAUGAGGAGCUUGCUCCUCUGACGUUAGCGGCGGACGGGUGAGUAACACGUGGAUAACCUACCUAUAAGACUGGGAUAACUUCGGGAAACCGGAGCUAAUACCGGAUAAUAUAUUGAACCGCAUGGUUCAAUAGUGAAAGACGGUUUUGCUGUCACUUAUAGAUGGAUCCGCGCCGCAUUAGCUAGUUGGUAAGGUAACGGCUUACCAAGGCGACGAUGCGUAGCCGACCUGAGAGGGUGAUCGGCCACACUGGAACUGAGACACGGUCCAGACUCCUACGGGAGGCAGCAGUAGGGAAUCUUCCGCAAUGGGCGAAAGCCUGACGGAGCAACGCCGCGUGAGUGAUGAAGGUCUUCGGAUCGUAAAACUCUGUUAUUAGGGAAGAACAAAUGUGUAAGUAACUAUGCACGUCUUGACGGUACCUAAUCAGAAAGCCACGGCUAACUACGUG